AGUAGAUAUUGGGUUUUAA
rnacentral:tRNA from 1 species